rnacentral:rRNA from 1 species
UGAAGGUGAAGCCUGCCCAGUGACAAAAUGUUUAACGGCCGCGGUAUCCUAACCGUGCAAAGGUAGCGCAAUCAAUUGUCCCAUAAAUCGGGACCUGUAUGAAUGGCCUAACGAGGUCUUAGCUGUCUCCUACAGAUAAUCAGUGAAAUUGAUCUUCCUGUGCAAAAGCAGGAAUAACUUCAUAAGACAAGAAGACCCUGUGGAACUUUAAAAUCUGCAACCACUCCCACAAACAAUCUUCCUCCACAGGACAUAUUCCUUCGGGAUACCAUUGGCCUGCAUUUUUUGGUUGGGGCGACCUUGGAGCCAAACCUAACCUCCAAAAACCAGACCAUACGUCUUAACUAAGACUAACUUAUCAACGUACUAAUAGUAACCAGACCCAAUAUAAUUGAUUAAUGAACCUAGCUACCCCAGGGAUAACAGCGCAAUCUCCUUCAAGAGCCCCCAUCGACAAGGAGGUUUACGACCUCGAUGUUGGAUCAGGACAUCCUGGUGGUGCAACCGCUACCAAGGGUUCGUUUGUUAACGAAUAA